CGUUGCCGGUUGCCAUAAACCCGUAGAUCCGAACUUGCGGUACGACUGCCUCACACAAGCUCGAGUCUGUGGGUAUGUGUCGAUCCUGGCCAGG
ensembl:miRNA